CAAGGAUGCUGGCGUAAUGGUCGUCAACGACCCGUCUUGAAACACGGACCAAGGAGUCGAACAUUUGUGCGAGUGUUUGGGUGUUAAACCCUCACGCGCAAUGAAAGUGAACGGAGGUGAGAGCCCUCGCGGGUGCAUCAUCGACCGAUCCUGAUGUAUUCGGAUGGAUUUGAGUAAGAGCAUAACUGUUCGGACCCGAAAGAUGGUGAACUAUGCGUGGAUAGGGUGAAGCCAGAGGAAACUCUGGUGGAGGCUCGCAGCGGUUCUGACGUGCAAAUCGAUCGUCAAAUCUGCGCAUGGGGGCGAAAGACUUAUCGAACCAUUAAAUACCAGCGGUAAAUGGAUUUACUAGGUGGUUAAGAGGUCCCCCGCGAGGGGGGCCUAGGUCACCGGGCUAGCUUACCCGGUAGCUACCCUGUAGUUACCCUGUAAAUGCCUUUCCUGAAGCUACCCUAUACCUACCCGGUAGCGGGAGCUUCGGGGGAGCUGCUGGCCCGGCCGACACCGCUAAAUUGCGGGGACGUCCUACUAUAGAAGGUCGCAGGCUACCGCCGGGCGCUGAAAAGCGUGCUGCCGGCACCGAGAAUAGCGCUCUCGGGUAUGGUAAUAACGCCUGCGGUAGCGGAUGACCUGCAGCCAACCCCGUCAGCCAUAGGGGAGAGUUCACAGACUAGACAGCGGUGGGUCGGCAGCGCGGGGCGUGCCGGCCUAAGACAUAGUCGAUCCGGCGCCUGAAAAGG
rnacentral:rRNA from 1 species